UAACACAUGCAAGUCGAGGGGCAUCAGGAAGAUAGCUUGCUUUCUUUGCUGGCGACCGGCGCACGGGUGAGUAACACGUAUCCAACCUGCCCUUUACUCGGGGAUAGCCUUUCGAAAGAAAGAUUAAUACCCGAUGGCAUAAUGAUUCCGCAUGGUUUCAUUAUUAAAGGAUUCCGGUAAAGGAUGGGGAUGCGUUCCAUUAGGUUGUUGGUGGGGUAACGGCUCACCAAGCCUUCGAUGGAUAGGGGUUCUGAGAGGAAGGUCCCCCACAUUGGAACUGAGACACGGUCCAAACUCCUACGGGAGGCAGCAGUGAGGAAUAUUGGUCAAUGGGCGCUAGCCUGAACCAGCCAAGUAGCGUGGAGGAUGAAGGCUCUAUGGGUCGUAAACUUCUUUUAUAUAAGAAUAAAGUGCAGUAUGUAUACUGUUUUGUAUGUAUUAUAUGAAUAAGGAUCGGCUAACUCCGUGCCAGCAGCCGCGGUAAUACGGAGGAUCCGAGCGUUAUCCGGAUUUAUUGGGUUUAAAGGGAGCGUAGGUGGACUGGUAAGUCAGUUGUGAAAGUUUGCGGCUCAACCGUAAAAUUGCAGUUGAUACUGUCAGUCUUGAGUACAGUAGAGGUGGGCGGAAUUCGUGGUGUAGCGGUGAAAUGCUUAGAUAUCACGAAGAACUCCGAUUGCGAAGGCAGCUCACUGGACUGCAACUGACACUGAUGCUCGAAAGUGUGGGUAUCAAACAGGAUUAGAUACCCUGGUAGUCCACACAGUAAACGAUGAAUACUCGCUGUUUGCGAUAUACAGUAAGCGGCCAAGCGAAAGCAUUAAGUAUUCCACCUGGGGAGUACGCCGGCAACGGUGAAACUCAAAGGAAUUGACGGGGGCCCGCACAAGCGGAGGAACAUGUGGUUUAAUUCGAUGAUACGCGAGGAACCUUACCCGGGCUUAAAUUGCAGUGGAAUGAUGUGGAAACAUGUCAGUGAGCAAUCACCGCUGUGAAGGUGCUGCAUGGUUGUCGUCAGCUCGUGCCGUGAGGUGUCGGCUUAAGUGCCAUAACGAGCGCAACCCUUAUCUUUAGUUACUAACAGGUCAUGCUGAGGACUCUAGAGAGACUGCCGUCGUAAGAUGUGAGGAAGGUGGGGAUGACGUCAAAUCAGCACGGCCCUUACGUCCGGGGCUACACACGUGUUACAAUGGGGGGUACAGAAGGCAGCUAGCGGGUGACCGUAUGCUAAUCCCAAAAUCCUCUCUCAGUUCGGAUCGAAGUCUGCAACCCGACUUCGUGAAGCUGGAUUCGCUAGUAAUCGCGCAUCAGCCACGGCGCGGUGAAUACGUUCCCGGGCCUUGUACACACCGCCCGUCAAGCCAUGGGAGCCGGGGGUACCUGAAGUACGUAACCGCAAGGAUCGUCCUAGGGUAAAACUGGUGACUGGGGCUAAG
rnacentral:rRNA from 1 species